rnacentral:misc_RNA from 1 species
GAACGCACAUUGCGCCCGCCAGUAUUCUGGCGGGCAUGCCUGUUCGAGCGUCAUUUCAACCCUCAAGCUCUGCUUGGCGUUGGGGAUCGGCAUCCCGGCUUCGUGCCGCGCCGUCCCCCAAAUACAGUGGCGGUCACGCUGCAGCUUCCUUUGCGUAGUAGCACACCUCGCACCGGAGAGCAGCGCGGCCACGCCGUAAAACCCCCGACUUCUUGUUUUUGACCUCGAAUCAGGUAGGACUACCCGCUGAACUUAAG